rnacentral:rRNA from 1 species
UGGCAAGUGCGGAANNNGUCAUUAAAUCAGUUAUCGUUUAUUUGAUAGUACCUUACUACAUGGAUACCUGUGGUAAUUCUAGAGCUAAUACAUGCUAAAAACCCCGACUCACGAAGGGGUGUAUUUAUUAGAUAAAAAACCAACGCCCUUCGGGGCUCCUUGGUGAAUCAUAAUAACUUAACGAAUCGCAUGGCCUUGCGCCGGCGAUGGUUCAUUCAAAUUUCUGCCCUAUCAACUUUCGAUGGUAGGAUAGUGGCCUACCAUGGUGGCAACGGGUAACGGGGAAUUAGGGUUCGAUUCCGGAGAGGGAGCCUGAGAAACGGCUACCACAUCCAAGGAAGGCAGCAGGCGCGCAAAUUACCCAAUCCCGAUACGGGGAGGUAGUGACAAUAAAUACUGAUACGGGGCUCUUUUGGGUCUCGUAAUUGGAAUGAGAACAAUUUAAAUCCCUUAACGAGGAACAAUUGGAGGGCAAGUCUGGUGCCAGCAGCCGCGGUAAUUCCAGCUCCAAUAGCGUAUAUUAAAGUUGUUGCAGUUAAAAAGCUCGUAGUUGAACCUUGGGUCUGGCUGGCCGGUCCGCCUCACCGCGAGUACUGGUCCGGCUGGACCUUUCCUUCUGGGGAACCUCAUGGCCUUCACUGGCUGUGGGGGGAACCAGGACUUU